UCUCGGGCUCCGUGCAACGGGCGGCCGCGAACCCCGCCAGGUCCGGAAGGGAGCAACGGUAGUGGUGCGGCUCGUGUGCCGCGGAUUCCCCGGGGCCU
rnacentral:SRP_RNA from 1 species